GACGAACGCUGGCGGCGUGCCUAAUACAUGCAAGUAGGACGCACAGUUUAUACCGUAGCUUGCUACACCAUAGACUGUGAGUUGCGAACGGGUGAGUAACGCGUAGGUAACCUACCUAUUAGAGGGGGAUAACUAUUGGAAACGAUAGCUAAUACCGCAUAACAGUAUGUAACACAUGUUAGAUGCUUGAAAGAUGCAAUUGCAUCGCUAGUAGAUGGACCUGCGUUGUAUUAGCUAGUAGGUAGGGUAAAGGCCUACCUAGGCAACGAUACAUAGCCGACCUGAGAGGGUGAUCGGCCACACUGGGACUGAGACACGGCCCAGACUCCUACGGGAGGCAGCAGUAGGGAAUCUUCGGCAAUGGGGGGAACCCUGACCGAGCAACGCCGCGUGAGUGAAGAAGGUUUUCAGAUCGUAAAGCUCUGUUGUUAAGGAAGAACGAGUGUGAGAAUGGAAAGUUCAUGCUGUGAC
rnacentral:rRNA from 1 species